AGGACCUUUGUCUGAAUGUGUAUAAAGGAUCUGUAAAAUCUAGGUGGACCCGAUAGUUCAGAUGACAGUUACUGGCGACUCCGCCGGGACUCUCCUAGCUUGGACAUUGGACUCCGGACGGCUGCGGCGAACUGGGAACGGCGCCAACGGGGUGUUUCGCCCCUUUUUUCUGCUUCACUGCAGCCCCUGGGGUUCGUGCUCAGAUAUGACCCCCAGGUUCGCCUAACAUUGGGAGGAACCGCCUAUUCUUGUCUUUUGGAUUCAGGGGCUGCACUUUCUACUGUUACUGCAAAGCCGGAGAGAGGAAGCCUUACAGAUAAGAGCAUUCCAGUAAUGGGUAUAGGCAGAAAGCCAUUUGACUCUUCUGUAUUACAGGAGGCUGCUGUAAAAAUCUCUGGUGUCUCCGCCUCCCAUGCCUUUCUUCUAGCUCCGGAUUCCCCAGUUAACCUCUUAGGCAGAGAUCUGUUGUGUAAACUACAUGCUCAGAUUUUCUUUUCAGAUGACAAAAUCAUUCUUCGGUUGCUUCAAACCCAACUUCCCCAGCUGUGUGCUGUUCUAACCCAAGUUUCAAAGGACUGAUCCUGUCUGCGGACCCAAUCCUACCCGAGUGACUCAGACAGGAGGUAAACAUCUCCCUGUGGGGCACUUCAAGGGCAGACUUGGGUACUCUCCAGACAGAGCCAGUGCGUAUAACCCUGAAGCCAGGCAUUGAAAUUCCUCAGAUUCGUCAGUAUCCCAUCCCCCAAGAAGCUCUGUUUGGCCUCCGGAGUCUUAUCACCACAUUCCUGCGGUUGGGAGUGCUGGUUCACACCAAGUCUCCUUUCAAUACUCCCAUUCUGCCAGUCAAAAAAAACUGACAUGGACUCAGAGGGAAAACCGGUAUACCGAUUUGUCCAGGACUUGCAUGCACUAAAUACGGUUGUUCAAGCUAGACACAAUGUGGUGCCAAACCCUCACACAAUCCUGACUGCCAUUCCAGCAGGUACUGCUUGUUAUUCAGUAAUAGACUUGUGUAAUGCUUUUUUUUAGUAUUCCUUUAGAUAAGGACAGCUGGGGCCACGCUUACCAAUUCAAUUUCAGUCCCUACCCGCUGAUAUUCCUGCCCACCGGAUCGCUCCAGGAGACUGGGUCUAUGUGAAAGAGUGGAAACACGAGCCUCUCCAACCCUGGCAGGCGGGCCCUUUCCAAGUCCUUCUUACCUCUCACACUGCUAUUCGAGUGAAAGAGCGAGACACUUGGAUACACCACACCCGAGUCAAGCUAGCCCCUAGGACGGGGCCAGAAGCAGAUGACUUCGGACCUCGAGGGAGCACCGCCAGCUCUUCCCACCGUGACCCGGAAGAGCCAGAAGCAGACGAUACCUGGAAAGCUGAACCUCUUGAGGGACUAAAACUUCUGUUCCGGUGAACAAAAUCCUAAGACUUUAUAACUAUGGGUUCUCAGACGGUGCUGCAGUGGCUAUUGCUUUUGGGUCUGCCCCUUGUACAAGCUAACCCACACCCAGCCACUAAACCUCUUCAGUGAAUAGCCACGUUGGGACACUUAUCUGAUUGUUGGCUGUGUCGCAAAACCCGCUCUGAGGAAGGAAUAGGGUUAUGGGCUGUACCUGCAAAUCUCUCUGAAGUACUCUCCUUACAGGUAGUACGGAAAACUGAAUGGGCAUGAGUUGGGGAAUAUCAAUAUGACAAAUAUGGGAGAAGGUCUGAAGUUUGGCAUUAUUACUGGGCAGCUAAGGGGGUCCCUUUUUGAAGUUCUUGGGAUUGGGUAUAACAUGCCCCUUUGUUUGGAAAAUGCUGAAGGAAGUGGGCUACCUUUCCCCUGGAGGCCUGUGAUCAAACUCUUUGGUUUGAGGUCAGAAAUGGAACCCUUUACCCUUUAAAUACCUCUGGGAAUGCCCAAAAACCCCCUUGUCUCCUGCACAUGGCCAUUACUGUGAAACCAACAGGCAUUCGUUAUCAAGGGCAGUGGUUUCCCUCAUUCCUCCCAUUAGGCCCCAUAAAUAAGACACAUAUGUAUUCUAUGGAUAUUUACUCUGGCAUUCUGUUGCCCCACACAUCCCUUGAAAGGAUGUCUGGAUGCCCAGAGUCCUGGGAUCACUUGCAAGUUUCACAGCUAACAUAUUUGGGGUUACGUAUUGUGUUGCCAUUUUAAACAAUACCCAUGCCAUUUUAAACAAUACCCAUGUUUCCCAUUGGAGGUGCCAGGACUGCCUAGUGAGUAACUCCUGGCGCUGGGAUGAAUGGGUGACCUGGCGCCAUCGAGUUGUGGGUAAUACCCUUACCCUCUAUUUAGAGACCCCUGGCUUGUAUUUUAUUUGUGGCCACAAUGUCUACAAAGCUCUCCCUCCAGGUUGGCAAGGUCGGUGUGGUGUGGCCCGGGUGUUACCAGAUGUCCAAGUAAACGACACAUUGGAUUCCAGCCAGAUCCUCAACCUGGGCAGCUAUGCCCAUAAGUUUUUCACAUUCCCCCAUAAGGACUCAAGCGAAAUGCACCAACAAUCCCCUAGUAGUCAGGCAAACGGGGUUUCACUCCUUUGUUCGUGCGCUCAUUCCUGGGUUGGGGGUAGCUGAGCUAGAAAAAGCAGUAGUAAAUAUUUUUGCAGAACUAGAAAAAGUAGCUAAUGCAUUAAUAGAGGCUUUCCAAAAGUUGAAACAGGAGAUUGAUGAGGUGGCAGAAAUAGCUUUGCAAAAUAGACGUGUGUUAGCUGCUAUGAAUGCCGAAUUAGGGGGGGCUUGUGCUCGCAUCGGGGAAAAAUGUUGUUUUUAUGUUAAUCAUUCUGGCUUAAUUGAGCAGGAUUUACAAGCCAUUAAGAAUGCUGCUGUUGUUUUCCAUGCUGUAUCUCUUGAUCACACCUUUAGUUUUGAGGACCUCCUUCCAGACCUUGAAUCAUGGUUUAUGGGGCUCUUUCGAAUAAUUGUUAAAUGGAUUCUUUUCUUUCUUUUUUUUUCUAUGUGGUAUUUGGAGAAUGAUACAAUGUGCCAAAUGCAUAUGUAAUACUAUGAUCAAAAGCUCUGCUGUCCAUAAGAAAACCCAGUAUCUGUCCCUCCAGCUUGAUCGCAAAUUGCGUAACGGGCCUGACAAUUUUUGAAUUUAUCAGGCCCGAAGGGGGGACUGUGAAAGUUACUAGUGACCCCUCCUAAUAGAGCAGUCGUUAUGUCAGCCAACGGCCAUUGGGGGAAGCAGACACCUUAAGGACACAGUAGCCUGAACUUUUCAACUGUUUUCCCUUCAAGGCCUUAAGGUAGUUGGA